GAAAGAGCAGAGAAACUAGUGGUGGCGGCGGCGGUGGAUGCCAUAGAUGGAGCUGGAGAAAAAGAAUACUGGGUGUUCGUGUAUGCUGUGAGGGAGAAAGCGUAGGAAGGCUGGGAAGUUUUGAAAGUAGCUCUGGUUAGAUUCUAUAGGUUUUGGAAGACUUUAACUCGUAGGAGGGCACGAAAGUACUUGUGUUUUUUUUUUUUUUGGUGCGGGGACCUCACGCCGAGAGUGUUAUUGCUUUAAAA